UCAUAUGCUUUUUUUAAAGAUUAAGCCAUGCAUGUCUCAGUACACUAUUACCAAAUGGAAACCGCGAAUGGCUCAUUAAAUCAGUUAUGGUUCCUUAGAUGAAUACACCCACGUGGAUAACUGUGGGAAAUCUAGAGCUAAUACAUGCAAUGAUGCUCCGACCCUUGUGGUAGGGGCGCUUUUAUUAGACUAAAACCUUCCGGACCGCAAGGUCCGUUAGAUGGUGACUCUGGAUAACUGUGCUGAUCGCAUGGCCUCGAGCCGGCGACGUAUCUUUCAAAUGUCUGCCCUAUCAACUUUCGAUGGUAGGUGAUAUGCCUACCAUGGUCGUAACGGGUAACGGGGAAUCAGGGUUCGAUUCCGGAGAGGGAGCAUGAGAAACGGCUGCCACUUCUACGGAAGGCAGCAGGCGCGCAAAUUACCCACUCCUCGAACGGGGAGGUAGUGACGAGAAAUACCAACACGGGACUCUCUGAGCCUCCGUGAUUGGAAUGAGUACAAUUUAAAUCCUUUAACGAGGAUCAAUUGGAGGGCAAGUCUGGUGCCAGCAGCCGCGGUAAUUCCAGCUCCAAUAGCGUAUACUAAAAUUGCUGCAGUUAAAAAGCUCGUAGUUGGAUCUCGAGUAUGGGCGCGUGGUCCUUCUCAUAGUUGGCUACUGCGUGUCUGUACCUUUUUGUCAGAUUUGACCCUUGGUGCACUUCAUUGUGUGUCUUGGGAUGUCUGAAGGUUUACUUUGAAAAAAUUCGAGUGCUCAAAGCAGGCGACUGUUUGUAUUAUAUAGCAUGGAAUAAUAAAAUAGGAUCUUGGUUCUAUUUUGUUGGUUUUUGGAACUCGAGAUAAUGAUUAAGAGGGACAGACGGGGGCAUUCGUAUUACGGCGUUAGAGGUGAAAUU
rnacentral:rRNA from 1 species